AAAGUGUUGGGCCUACUCAACAAGUUUAAAACCAGUGGUGAAAUUCCAUUCAAUUCGUUGGAGUCCGAUGAAUUGGAGGAAGCAAUUCUUGAUUUAGAGGAACUUGCAAACAAAAUCAGUCGGCCCAAACAGCUUAUGGAAUCCAAAAGACCUCUGUCUGAUGGUGUUACACCUUCAUGGAAGUUUGUAAAACACUAUGGAACAUCGACAAAGAAUUGAUGGCUUCGGAAGUUUGGCUUGAUCCUUCCUGUCUUUGAGCUAGGAUACGAUUGAGAGAAACACAUCCUGAAGAACUUGCUUAGAAAUAUUCACUUGUAGUGAACGAUCACUACAAGUUAGUAUUUCUUUUCUACACAACAAAUUCUACGUUCUACGUUCAGCUGGAGGAUGCCUUUUUGAGGAGCCAUGGCAAGUCACUUGCUCUACUCCUUUACUUUUUGUAUCUCCAUUACAUGAAACUUUUCCGAUUACUCAUCAAAUGAUAGAGGUGAUAUACUGUCCUUCUCGUUCGAGAUUCAUGCAGACUUCUUUCCUGAAUCUUUUCGGUCAACAUCAAAGCUGUGUAAACUGUGGAUGAAAUUUCCAACUUAUAAUUCAUCAAAGAGUGUCUGUGACUGAUAAAAUUGAUGUUAUGUACUAGAUGUAUUUUUUAAAACUUGCUGUGUUGGAUAUUUGCCCCAAUUGCAUUGUUUGAGUAAAGAUGAAACUUCAAAAA